rnacentral:rRNA from 1 species
UACGUAGGGGGCUAGCGUUGUCCGGAAUCAUUGGGCGUAAAGCGUGCGUAGGCGGCCCGGCAAGUCCGCUGUGAAAGUCAAAGGCUCAACCUUUGAAUGUCAGCGGAUACUGCCGGGCUAGAGUCCGGAAGAGGCGAGUGGAACUCCUGGUGUAGCGGUGGAAUGCGCAGAUAUCAGGAAGAACACCAACGGCGAAGGCAGCUCGCUGGGACGGAACUGACGCUGAGGCGCGAAAGCGUGGGGAGCGAACAGG